rnacentral:lncRNA from 1 species
CACACGUUCGCAUAAGAAAAAAAAUAUAUACGCUUUCCCUCGUUCUUACUCCCCCUAACUCUCUCUCUUUGUUCUCACCUUUUCUCUUCCUUCGGUUUCUUCCUUUCCCAAAUCAUCAAAUUUUAGCACCAAAUUAAGCAUUCAUAAGUAAAACUCCUUAUAUAAGCAAAGCUAUAGUCAAUCCUACAAGUUAAUUUGGGUUUGAUUUUGGAGAUUGAGGUUAGGGUUCUAAGAAAGGAGAAGAGUGCCCACUUUUGGUAAUUACUCAUUGAAGCUCUUUAAGAUAUGGCGCCGGAUGCUUCACAUGCUUCUUCAUGGGUGGUUGGAGAGCACACUUAGUUGAUUCGUUGUAAUUGUGAGUUGAUGACGAUCAUUAUCAAUAUUUUGAUUAUUGUUAUUAUUGAUAUUUUGCUUAUUUCAAUAUCAAAGUAUUGUUUUUAAACGGGGAAAGACAACUUCUGAACAUUUUAUUUAUUUUAAAAGUCAUUGAUAUUGAUAAUAAUAUAUACUCUAUUUGAAAUGAAUAUUUGAUUGCACAUAUUUUGUGCUCUAGUUAUGAUAUGUUCAUGAAAAUACGUUGUUGAGAUAAUUUAUAUUUUUGAAACAUUCCUAAAAUUGUUUUGACUAGUUUUGAUGUAUUGUAAAGCAUGAGUUUGAAAUUUUUGUUUUUAAAAGAUUUUAGUAUUAAUAUGUACUCGACAUUUUUAAUUGAUUUUGAUGGUACAUAUUUUGAUCCGAUAUGUUGA